GUGGGGAAUAUUGCGCAAUGGGGGAAACCCUGACGCAGCGACGCCGUGUGAGGGAAGAAGGCUUUCGGGUCGUAAACCUCUGUCGGGAAGGAAGAACCCCCCGGGUCCGAAUAGGGCCUGGGGCUGACGGUACUUCCAGAGGAAGCACCGGCUAACUCCGUGCCAGCAGCCGCGGUAAUACGGAGGGUGCAAGCGUUAAUCGGAAUCACUGGGCGUAAAGCGCGCGUAGGCGGCUUUUUAAGUCGGACGUGAAAGCCCUCGGCUCAACCGGGGAAUUGCGUUCGAUACUGGGAAGCUUGAGUCCUGGAGAGGGUGGCGGAAUUCCGGGUGUAGGAGUGAAAUCCGUAGAUAUCCGGAGGAACACCGGUGGCGAAGGCGGCCACCUGGACAGGUACUGACGCUGAGGCGCGAAAGCGUGGGGAGCAAACAGGAUUAGAAACCCCUGUAGUCC
rnacentral:rRNA from 1 species